GUAUGAGAACUAGAGAGCAGAUAAGGACACUUCUAUUUCCACACAGUCUCUUUUUCUUUGGCAAAGGCAAAAGCAAAGACAAAACAAGUAAGUUUGAGUAAACUGGCAAAAGAAAAGAAGCUAGAACACACUAAAACAAGACAGUUAUACAAUAAUUACGACUCAUUCGCCUCGUAAAUGCCUACUUUUGUUAAUGGUAGCCUUGUUUUGGACAACAGAGAUUUUUCUCUAUAUUUGCUGUGUUAUUUUGCCUUAAUGCAUAGCAGGUAAUCGCCUGACAACAAGAUCUCCUGAUUGGCAGAUAAUCAGAUAAUUUAUACGUUUUUGCUGAUAGGAAGAUACAUAUGCUGAUGUAAUCAUGCACGGAACUAUUAAGAAGACUGCCAUUUGAGGUUGGAAGGGUUGCUCGUAAUUUUUGUUUGGCCUUGAGCAAUUAGAAUGAGGACUGUGAAGUUUGCCGAAUAUCUUAAGUUUUCCGCACAAAUUAGCCAGUACGUUAGACUGUGGACGUGAAUAUUCUACAUGCUGUAACAGAAUUUGCAUUCUCAGCGAUCAAACUCAUCAUUCUACUUUAUUUUCCAUGCCAUAACUGUGAGAAAACGUGAAAUAUUUGGGUUUUUAGUACAUUGUGGAGCUGAAUGGUUACAUAAAGUCAAACAGGGUGUCCGUAACGAGAUUUCGUCUGUUCAUUGCAUAAGUGAAGGCACCAACCAUAAGGGCUCGCUCCCUCCCCUUUUUUCCCUCCCCUCUUUUCCCUCCCCCCCCCCAUAAUCCCCGUGGGUUCAAAUUUCGAGUAAGAAUACCGACAAUUUAUAAAAGGUAUAUUUGAUCAAGAAGUUGAUUCCAUGAGCUUUAUCAUGAAGUAAGCCAAAAACCAGUGCGACAAUGUUUAGACCAGUCACAGUUAUGUUAUGGGUUCGAGUGACAAUUUAAUGCACUGACAUUCCCUAAUAACGGACACUUACUAAAAACUGACACGUCCAACAUUUCGACGCUUGGUGCAGACAAAGUAUAGAUAAACCAGAGCAAAAAACCAGAUGACUUUAAUGCGCGCUUAAAGAGAACAAAAUUUAACCAUAAUUCAGUCUUCAGUCUCAAUGAAGAGAAAAACAGCAUAUUUUGCAGGAGUCUGCAGAAAGCAUAUUUUUUGCUAGAAAGAUCAAAACUAUUUACACGAUUCAGUUAAUUAAAGGAAGUGUCCUACAUUUUGAGGAGCUUAAAUCAAUCAACAGCAGUUGAUUAUCCUGGCAUAGAGCCCCUGGUCUUUUAAAUCGUCAGUUUGCGUUUUUGAGUUACGUAUUUUAAAUCAGGCUAUACCAGUUGGCAAAUUCAUCAUGGGAAAGUGGUUGUAAUUUCUCCAACUUGAAACAGGUGAAACUCUGUGAUAAGUCGAAAUCCACGCCUAAAGAGCUAGUUUCAUGUGAACAUGUCAGAUUUCAGAACACUGCAAUCUGCGUGUUCAUCCUUUCUCAUCUAUUUUCGACCACACCAAAAGCAUGCUACCCAAGUACACUAAAAGAGUGACUAAAGACCAGUUUUAUAUUUAAACUUAGUGCCCACUUUAGCUAAAUUUUGAUAAAACGCCGUAAUAUUUUCAAAAUGAUAAGUCACAUAUUUUGAUUUUAGUAAUGAGAUUUAAGAAGGUUAUACAUCAAGAUUUAAGCAAAAGAUUUGGACAACACCGAAGGAAAUGUUACCGCACUCUAAAGGUUGUCCAUAUAAUGUAUUAGUGCCAGCGAUUAUAUAAUAUUUUGCAGCUGCCCCAGCUCUAGCGUUAUCUGCUUGACGAAUGCGCCUGGAUUUGGUGAUUACAGUAUUGUAUUGAGAUCCUCCAUGAAAACAAAUUACAGUUCCUACUCUCGGUUUGUUCGCUCAGUUUCAUAGAAGGAAGGGAAAGUGUUUUGUUCAAAUUCUUAUUUUGGCGCAAUUUUGGCGCAUAUUUUACGCGCUUGUUUCGAGCUUCUUAGUUUGAUGCAUCUGCUGUUGACUGCCGGUACAAUUCUUAGAUGGAGCGAAGAAUACUGCCAUCCCCAUAGAUGAUAAGAAAGAUAAGUGACAGCUGAAAGGUUCAGAUCAGAUAAAAGAUUGCUCUACAGUUCAUGUUGUAUCAGGUAUGAAAAAAAUGAUUAAAAUAACAUUGCCUAGCUUUUUCGAUUGCUUUGUUAUCGAAAGCCAGUAUGAAAUAUUUAUGCAGUCAAAAUAAAUUAGCUAAUUCAUUUUUGUUUACUAAUAAAUUUUUUCAGACUACGAAUGCAUGUCCUACUAUUUCUGUAGCCUCACCAACAACCCAUGAAAAUGUCAAAAAAUAACUUCUCUUUUUCAUAUUGAUGUUUCUAGUUUAAAAAAUUCACUUGGCUAUAGAACUUAAAGAUUAUCAAGGAUAUUCAGAGCUUUUAGAGAACCAAACUGGUUUUCAUUCUAUGUAAACAGACAACGUUUAUUCGAGUAAUUCUUGCUCUUAGGCCAUGCAGAAUUUAAAAAAUGACGAACUUACUUACAGUUUAUCAAAAAAUGCUAGCUGCGCCCCCUUGUCUGAUUCUGCGCUGAUAUCGAUCACUGGAACGCAUCACUCAAGCUACUGGCUCACAAAUGAUGUAGCUGAAAAAUAUAUUUGCUUGACAUGAAUUCACCUCCCUUGCAUUUGUUGUACGUGAACAGCCAGUUAUCUUUGUCGAGUCAAGGUAUCAUGAACACACUCCAACCUGCUGAAUCAAACGGAAUCAUUCUUAAAGGUAG